rnacentral:rRNA from 1 species
GGGCCCGCACAAGCGGUGGAGCAUGUGGUUUAAUUCGAUGAUACGCGAGGAACCUUACCUAGGCUUAAAUGUAGAUUGACGUAUUGGGAAACCAGUAUUUCUUCGGACAAUCUACAAGGUGCUGCAUGGUUGUCGUCAGCUCGUGCCGUGAGGUGUCGGGUUAAGUCCCAUAACGAGCGCAACCCCUAUCAUUAGUUGCCAGCGAGUAAUGUCGGGAACUCUAACGAAACUGCCAGUGCAAACUGUGAGGAAGGUGGGGAUGACGUCAAAUCAUCACGGCCCUUACGUCCUGGGCUACACACGUGCUACAAUGGCCGGUACAGAGAGCAGCCACUUCGCAAGAAGGAGCG